rnacentral:lncRNA from 1 species
CUACCUUUAAUGAAAAGGCUAUGCUUCAUUCGAGAAAGAAGUCAGUUACUAUAAAUAAGGUCAUGGUGUUAAUAAGCAAGUGAAACUUGAGGUUAGACCUUUAAUUCAUCUAUCAUUGGGUGAUACUUUAGUUCAGCCAGUUCAUGACAAUAAGCUUGAGAUUGUUGAUGAGAGAGAUGUCCUAUAAGAGCAACAAUAUAUCAUAGCCACUGAUAGAUCGAGAAGGCAGAUUACACCCUCUCAGAGAUAUAGAUAUUAAAUUUAAUCUCUUUUAUAUUAUUUGUGAUAGAGUCUAUUAAGGUUCAGGAUCCUAUCAGUUAUCAUGAGGCCAUCACUAAUAGUAAGUUUGUAUAAUAGUCUAUUGCUAUGAGGAGA